rnacentral:rRNA from 1 species
UAGGGAAUCUUCCACAAUGGGCGCAAGCCUGAUGGAGCGACACCGCGUGAGUGAAGAAGGGUUUCGGCUCGUAAAGCUCUGUUGUUAAAGAAGAACACGUAUGAGAGUAACUGUUCAUACGUUGACGGUAUUUAACCAGAAAGUCACGGCUAACUACGUGCCAGCAG